rnacentral:rRNA from 1 species
UAGCAGAGGGUGCAACGUUGUUCGGAAUCACUGGGCAUAAAGGCGCGCGUAGGCGGCUUCAUCGAAGUGACAGAGUGAAAUCCCACGGCUUACCCCGUGGAACUGCCCUGUAUAUGACGAGCUAGAGGACGGUAGGGGAGAGCGGAACUCUUGGUAGGAGCGGUAAAAUGGCGUGAUAUCAAGAGGAACAGCCCGAUGGCGAAGGCAGCUCUCUGGUCCGUUCUGACGCGAGGCGACGAAAGGC